rnacentral:SRP_RNA from 1 species
GCUGGGUGUGGUGGCGUGCACCUGUAGUCCCAGCUACUCGGGAGGCUGAGGCAGGAGAAUUGCUUGAACCUGGGAGGCGGAGGUUGCAGUGAGCUGACAUAGUGCCACUGCACUCCAGCCUGGGUGACAGAGUGAGACUCUGUCUCAA